CCCUUAGAUGUUCUGGGCCGCACGCGCGCUACACUGACGAAUUCAACGAGCUUAUAACCUUGGCCGAAAGGUCUAGGUAAUCUCCAAAAUUCGUCGUGAUGGGGAUAGAUUAUUGCAAUUAUUAAUCUUCAACGAGGAAUGCCUAGUAAGCGCAAGUCAUCAGCUUGCGUUGAUUACGUCCCUGCCCUUUGUACACACCGCCCGUCGCUCCUACCGAUUGAAUGAUCCGGUGAAGCGUUUGGACUAUGGUUUUCUGACGGUUCGCCAUUGGAUUACCGUGGGAAAUUCGUUAAACCUUAUCAUUUAGAGGAAGGAGAAGUCGUAACA
rnacentral:rRNA from 1 species